CAGUUUGUCCUUUAGAUACAUAUUUAUUAUCAAUUGAGACAAUUUCAUGAUAAACUUAGCGUUAUGUGAAUAAAAAAACACAUAUAUCACUAGACUAGUUUCCCAAAGAGAAAACAACAAAUAAAACUGCUAAAAAGGCAGCUUUAGAAAGAGUAGAGAAUGGGAUACCAUAUUUUCCCUUCUCAAACAUGCCUUUCAGAAAUGGAAAGAACAACGUAACCACCAAAACACAUCCACAAGCCUCGGCCAAACCCGAACCACCUUCUUUGUGACUAUGACCUAACCGUUGAAGACCCGCCGACCAACCGGCUAGAGCGGCUAGAUUCACUAACAUGAUAAAUGUGCCAGGCAAAAAAUAGAGGGAGUCACCAAAUUCAAAUUUCCCGGAAUCUUGGUCUGGACAAUCAGCUUUUGAUCCGGAUCUAGAUUCUGACCUUGUCUCGGGCAUAGUCUUUUUAGUGACAACGAAGACGGUUUUCGAAGUUCCAAGAAACUUGAGUAUGAUAUCAGGGAUACUAAAUAACCAACCGCAGGUGAUUUUUAUCCUUCCAAAUGAUUGGGAGAUAAACCACGAUUGAAAGGUGAAACCAAGGAUCAUAAAUUCCCAUAGAGUGUAAAGGCAAUAUAUCCCCACAACGGCGAUGAUAACACCUAAAUAAACUCCCUAAAGCCAUAAACAAAAUAAAAACAUUAAAAUUUUCACCCUAGAUUAAUUAUACGAUAUAAGUAUAUAACUAUUCUAAUAAGGAGGCUAUCUAUAAUUGAAAGUAUGAGAUAGAUCGAGAUAAAUUAAUUAUCUACUGAUAUAAUGGAUCAUCAUCGCCUUUGGCCCUUGGUCAUUUACUCAAUUUGAAAUUUGGCUAAUGAGGUAGAGAAAGAAAGAGAGUUACCUUGGGAAAUAAGGCAGAGUUGUGGAGUAGACAAUAAGCAGGCAAUAGACAAUAGAAGAGCUCAGGGAUUGACCUUAGACCCCAAACGAGAACGUAAAGAUAAGCCAAGCAUUGUCGGAAUCUUAGUUUUCGGA
rnacentral:lncRNA from 1 species